UACGAAGGGGGCUAGCGUUGCUCGGAAUCACUGGGCGUAAAGGGUGCGUAGGCGGGUCUUUAAGUCAGGGGUGAAAUCCUGGAGCUCAACUCCAGAACUGCCUUUGAUACUGAAGAUCUUGAGUUCGGGAGAGGUGAGUGGAACUGCGAGUGUAGAGGUGAAUUCGUAGAUAUUCGCAAGAACACCAGUGGCGAAGGCGGCUCACUGGCCCGA
rnacentral:rRNA from 1 species